UACGGGGGAGCAAGCGUUGUUCGGAUUUACUGGGCGUAAAGGGCGCGUAGGCGGUCAGCACAAGUCAGUUGUGAAAUCUCCGAGCUUAACUCGGAAAGGUCAACUGAUACUGUGCGACUAGAGUGCGGAAGGGCAACUGGAAUUCUUGGUGUAGCGGUGAAAUGCGUAGAUAUCAAGAGGAACACCUGCGGCGAAGGCGGGUUGCUGGGCCGACACUGACGCUGAAGCGCGAAAGCCAGGGAGCGAACGGG
rnacentral:rRNA from 1 species